rnacentral:rRNA from 13 species
GCGUAAUGAUUUGGAUACUGUCUCGGAGAGGGGCUCGGUGAAAUAGACUUGUCUGUGAAGAUGCGGACUACCUGCACCAGGACAGAAAGACCCUAUGAAGCUUUACUGUAACUUGAGAUUGGUUUCGGGUUUUAUUUGCGCAGAAUAGGUGGGAGGCUAUGAAAAAAUACUUGUGGGUGUUUUGGAGCCAUCAGUGAGAUACCACUCUUGUAAUGUUAGAUUUCUAACUUUGAACCAUUAUCUGGUCAAAGAACAGUUUCAGGCGGGCAGUUUGACUGGGGCGGUCGCCUCCUAAAGCGUAACGGAGGCGCGCGAAGGUUGGCUCAGAGCGGUCGGAAAUCGCUCGUUGAGUGCAAUGGCAGAAGCCAGCCUGACUGCAAGACUGACAAGUCGAGCAGAGUCGAAAGACGGCCAUAGUGAUCCGGUGGUCCCGAGUGGAAGGGCCAUCGCUCAACGGAUAAAAGGUACGCCGGGGAUAACAGGCUGAUACUGCCCAAGAGUCCAUAUCGACGGCAGUGUUUGGCACCUCGAUGUCGGCUCAUCACAUCCUGGGGCUGAAGUCGGUCCCAAGGGUAUGGCUGUUCGCCAUUUAAAGUGGUACGCGAGCUGGGUUUAGAACGUCGUGAGACAGUUCGGUCCCUAUC